GGAGAAGGUCCUGCAGAGCUACACAAACUCCACCACCAGCGGAGGCCGUGCUUAAAGCCUUCAACCGAAGUUGGGAAUGAAUUGAGCAAGUUUGUAAAGUUGAAGGACAAGAACUAGGGAUAUUUAAAAAGAGAAGAGUUUACACUGUUAUUAUUUGCCAUCCCUAGUGAUAAUUGGAUCCAUAACAAUAGUUCAAGGUAAAAUGGCAAAAUAAAGAACAAUAAUAUUCAUUCCCUUUUUUAUGAUGAAAAUCUUAUCGUUAUAGCU
rnacentral:misc_RNA from 1 species